AUGAACGCUGGCGGCGUGCCUAAUACCUGCAAGUCGAGCGAACAGACGAGGAGCUCGCUCCUUUGACGUUAGCGGCGGACGGGUGAGUAACACGUGGAUAACCUACCUAUAAGACUGGGAUAACUUCGGGAAACCGGAGCUAAUACCGGAUAACAUGUUGAACCGCAUGGUUCAACAGUGAAAGACGGUCUUGCUGUCACUUAUAGAUGGAUCCGCGCCGCAUUAGCUAGUUGGUAAGGUAACGGCUUACCAAGGCAACGAUGCGUAGCCGACCUGAGAGGGUGAUCGGCCACACUGGAACUGAGACACGGUCCAGACUCCUACGGGAGGCAGCAGUAGGGAAUCUUCCGCAAUGGGCGAAAGCCUGACGGAGCAACGCCGCGUGAGUGAAGAAGGUCUUCGGAUCGUAAAACUCUGUUAUUAGGGAAGAACAAAUGUGUAAGUAACUAUGCACGUCUUGACGGUACCUAAUCAGAAAGCCACGGCUAAUUACGUG
rnacentral:rRNA from 1 species